rnacentral:rRNA from 1 species
CCCUUAGAUGUCCUGGGCCGCACGCGCGUUACACUGAUGCAUUCAACGAGCUUAUAACCUUGGCCGAGAGGCCUGGGCAAUCUUGUUAACGUGCAUCGUGAUAGGGAUAGAUUAUUGAAAUUAUUAAUCUUGAACGAGGAAUUCCUAGUAAACGCAGAUCAUCAAUCUGCAUUGAUUACGUCCCUGCCCUUUGUACACACCGCCCGUCGCUCCUACCGAUUGAAUGUGUUGGUGAGGAGUUCGGAUUGGCAGCUGGUGGUGGUUCGCCACCGCCUGCAGCUGAGAAGUUCUCCAAACCGCCCCAUUUAGAGGAAGGAGAAGUCGUAACA